CUGCAGCUAAUUAAGCUGACAGGGCUGCUUUCCUCCAGGGGGCCUGGUGUGCAAUGGCUACAAACAGCAGCUUCCUUGGUAGUGUAUGUAGCCUGUUCCUUGUAUGGGUUGCUUGAAAGAACAUGAAGACUGUC
ensembl:snoRNA SNORA70 Small nucleolar RNA SNORA70